AGCAGCCGCGGUAAUUCCAGCUCCAAUAGCGUAUAUUAAAGUUGUUGCAGUUAAAAAAGCUCGUAGUUGAAUUCCGGGAUCAGUACGUCGGUCGUGCCUUCGGUAUGCACUGGUGUCACUGGUUCCUCCCUUCUGACGAACCGUCAUGCCAUUAAUUUGGUGUGGCGGGAAAUCAGGACUGUUACUUUAGAAAAAUUAGAGUGUUUAAAGCAGGCUCACGCUUGAAUACAUUAGCAUGGAAUAAUGAAAUAGGACGUUGAUCUUAUUUUGUUGGUUUCUAGGAUUGACGUAAUGAUUAAUAGGGAUAGGUUGGGGGCAUUAGUAUUCAAUUGUCAGAGGUGAAAUUCUUGGAUUUAUUGAAGACUAACUACUGCGAAAGCAUUUGCCAAGGAUGUUUUCAUUAAUCAAGAACGAAAGUUAGGGGAUCGAAGACGAUCAGAUACCGUCGUA
rnacentral:rRNA from 1 species